UACGUAGGGUGCAAGCGUUAAUCGGAAUUACUGGGCGUAAAGCGUGCGCAGGCGGUUUUGUAAGACCGAUGUGAAAUCCCCGGGCUUAACCUGGGAACUGCAUUUGUGACUGCAAGGCUUGAGUGUGUCAGAGGGAGGUGGAAUUCCGCGUGUAGCAGUGAAAUGCGUAGAUAUGCGGAGGAACACCGAUGGCGAAGGCAGCCUCCUGGGAUAACACUGACGCUCAUGCACGAAAGCGUGGGGAGCAAACAGG
rnacentral:rRNA from 1 species